AGAAGAAGAAAGUGACAAGGACUCUGCCACAAUGACUGAAUCAACUGGAAGCACUGUUUGCACUGUUACAGAGCUGUCAAUCAGACACGCACAUCUGACCACCUCAGAUCUCAAGAGUUCCACGGGAUACCUUGAUUCUCAGCACUUCCUGGCUCCAGCAGAGCGCUCUACAAAGCCAGCAUUUGUCUCCACCGUUUUGAAGUCUGCUCCACAGGAGACUUCACCGAAGGAAGAGGCAGACAGCAUGGCUGCUUCCCCAUGAGGCUUCCUCUGACCCCAGCAAAAACAUGGAAGCAUCAAGGAGGAGAUUCUCUAUGAAGGAAAUGAUGACUUUAGGAAUUGGGAAUUCACCAAAGUUGUCAAAUUUCAAACCCCAGAAAUUUCCAUGUAAAUAUCACACUCCAUUUCCUAUUCAGUCUAAGAGGAAAUGUGUGGUGUUUAAUUCUGGGCAUCUGGAGAGAGGAACAGCCCUGUCUGGGACAUGAGGAGAAAACAGCACCCAAGUAAAACGUGUUGGGAUCACGCACUUCCUUCCCCAGAAUUUGGUGGCCUAGACAAGCAGAAUUCAGAUGUGGUAUCUGCUGCCCAUGAGUGAAGCCUCAGGGUGUGGCCAAGAGCUG
rnacentral:lncRNA from 1 species